AGAUUUGAAAACGAUUGUUCCUUUUAGUUUGUAGCACUAUAGUACUUACGACGUGUUUUAAUCAACCAGCUAAUUAGUUCUCAAAAACAACAGAACGAUGUUUAUAUUCGCAGUUUCGAUUUUCAUACUAACAAUUGCCAUUUUCUACACCGAAGCUCAGACCUGGGAUAAAGUAUGUCGAUUCGCGCAUAGUAAAUGUGAGUUCGAUGAUUUAUGUAAUAAUAGAAAUGCGAAGACAGUUAGUGAGAUGGUUGAGCAUUCGAGAGCAAGAGUUAAUUAUUAUCUUUUACAGAAGACCAUACUGAGCAUACAAAUACUUGCGAAUGCUUUAAUAAUGAUAUUCCAGGAGGUUAAUGCAGAAAAUCGCUUGUAAGUAACGAUGAAACAUUCAAAAUUAGAAGAAAACGCGGUGAUUAAUAACGCAUUGCACAGGAAUUCGAUCGUUUCAUUGAUUCAACAUUCAAUUUGAAGAUUUUUGAAGAAUUAGAUACUGUUGUAACAAGAAGUCAAUAAAAUCGGAGACUAACAA